rnacentral:rRNA from 1 species
CCCUUAGAUGUUCUGGGCCGCACGCGUGCUACACUGACCGGCGCAACAAGCUUUUUUCCUUGGCUCGACAGGCCUGGGUAAUCUUCGAACGCCGGUCGUGAUGGGGAUAGAUCCUUGCAAUUUUUGAUCUUCAACGAGGAAUUCCUAGUAAAUGCGAGUCAUCAUCUCGCGUUGAUUACGUCCCUGCCCUUUGUACACACCGCCCGUCGCACCUACCGAUUGAAUGGUCCGGUGAAGCCUCGGGAUUGCGAAUGCUUCGUGCGGACGCGAGAACUUGGCUAAACCUUACCAUUUAGAGGAAGGUGAAGUCGUAACA